GAUGAACGCUGGCGGCGUGCCUAAUACAUGCAAGUCGAGCGAACGGACGAGAAGCUUGCUUUUCUGAUGUUAGCGGCGGACGGGUGAGUAACACGUGGAUAACCUACCUAUAAGACUGGGAUAACUUCGGGAAACCGGAGCUAAUACCGGAUAAUAUUUUGAACCGCAUGGUUCAAAAGUGAAAGACGGUCUUGCUGUCACUUAUAGAUGGAUCCGCGCUGCAUUAGCUAGUUGGUAAGGUAACGGCUUACCAAGGCAACGAUGCAUAGCCGACCUGAGAGGGUGGUCGCCCAAGCGAGAGUGAGAACGCGCUCCAGCCCCCGCGGGGGGGCAGAAGUGGGGAUUGUCCGGAAAGGGCGAAAACCGUGAGGGAGCAGCGCGGGGGGAGUGAGGAGGGUCUUGGUAUAAAAAACCUUUUUUAUAAGGAAAAAAAAUAUGUGAAAGAAACUGUCCACAUCUUGCGGGACCCUAAUAAGAAGCCCACGGCAAACUCCGGC
rnacentral:rRNA from 1 species